rnacentral:rRNA from 1 species
AUUGAACGCUGGCGGCAGACCUAACACAUGCAAGUCGAGCGGUAGAGAGAAGCUUGCUUCUCUUGAGAGCGGCGGACGGGUGAGUAAUGCCUAGGAAUCUGCCUGGUAGUGGGGGAUAACGUUCGGAAACGGACGCUAAUACCGCAUACGUCCUACGGGAGAAAGCAGGGGACCUUCGGGCCUUGCGCUAUCAGAUGAGCCUAGGUCGGAUUAGCUAGUUGGUGGGGUAAUGGCUCACCAAGGCGACGAUCCGUAACUGGUCUGAGAGGAUGAUCAGUCACACUGGAACUGAGACACGGUCCAGACUCCUACGGGAGGCAGCAGUGGGGAAUAUUGGACAAUGGGCGAAAGCCUGAUCCAGCCAUGCCGCGUGUGUGAAGAAGGUCUUCGGAUUGUAAAGCACUUUAAGUUGGGAGGAAGGGCAGUAAAUUAAUACUUUGCUGUUUUGACGUUACCGACAGAAUAAGCACCGGCUAACUCUGUGCCAGCCGCCGCCGUAA